rnacentral:rRNA from 1 species
UACGAAGGGGGCUAGCGUUGCUCGGAAUCACUGGGCGUAAAGCGCACGUAGGCGGCUUGUUAAGUCAGGGGUGAAAUCCUGGAGCUCAACUCCAGAACUGCCUUUGAUACUGCAUGGCUUGAGACCGGAAGAGGUUAGUGGAACUGCGAGUGUAGAGGUGAAAAUUCGUAGAUAUUCGCAAGAACACCAGUGGCGAAGGCGGCUGACUGGUCCCGGUUCUGACGCUGAGGCGCGAAAAGCGUGGGGGAGCAAACAGG